UUAGCCGCAGCCGAAACAUUCACCUCCCUGAAACCUCUCACCAUGAAUCAGAACUCAACCAUUAAAUUUAUCUAAAUACCUAAUAGAAACUCGAUUAACUUUCUACAUAUGUGAAUUAACCUUCUACGUCUGUGAAUUUAGUGCUUAUAUGGUUUGAUUUUCUAAACAAAAUCGGUGUGAUCUCUCAGUUAGGGUUUGAGUUUGUUCAUCAGGUACAGUCCGAUCUCUCAGUUAGGGUUUGAGUUAGUUCAUCAGUUCUUUUAUUGAUUUCAGUUUGAUCUUCAACAGCUUAAGUUGCAGGAAGAUCUUCAUAGGCGAAGAUAAGAGAGUUGAACAAAACUGAGCAGUAUAGAGAGGAAACCAAUUUGGACAAAGAUGCAGUCGCCGCGGUGCUUGGAACUGAUAAUAGGUGCUUUGUUCGAGGAAUGGGAGGUGGGAUUUCAAAAACUGAACUGCUUGCUUCUGCAGUUCCUAGGGAGCAGUUACGUCAACAGGUGCUGAAGACUAUAGUUGUGGAGGAUCGUGUCCGUACUUUUGAGGUCACCGUUGAGACAUUGAUGGCUGGUUUAAACUGCAAUCCUAGCACAAGCAAUGCUAAUGCUCAGUUAACAUUUAUAACUAGUUAUGGAUCAAUUGCAUGAUUUGUUUAUCUUAUUAUGUGCACAAGUAUUUCUCAACUUCGUUAUCAUUCCAGGUAAAAUUUUCAUGACUUGUGUUUAUGGAUGGUGUGAGUGAAAAGCAAAUAAUCUUGGAUGUUAGAAUAGUUGUAUUACAAUUUUAUUCAAAUAAUCUUCAUAUAUAUUUAGAUUUAGACUUACUAUGUGGAAAUCAACUGUUUAGGUAAGAUGAGAAAUCAGAAAUCGUUGAAUAUGAAUUUUGAUUACGUUGCUUGAUUCACUACCGAUUCAUUGUUUCCAAAUCAAGAGUCAUCUUCUGGCACAAGAAUCAUAGAUACAAGAUGUGUAAAGAGACAUGUAGACAUGAAAUGCUUGCUGUUGUGACUUGACUUUUCUGGGAUUGUUGUGGACUACAAAUGACUACAAAUUAGUGUUUUUUUCUUCUUGUUUUAAGUAAAGUAAAGCUCUUAAUUCCAUUUCUGAUCUAAAUUGUUCUUAAUUUUAAGGUUAUUGAGUUUUUAACCUUCGAUUCUGCAUGACCUUUCUUAGGAGCAGCUGAACAAUUUAUUAUGUUUGCAUCGCUUUUCUUAUGUGCACCAGUAUUUCUUACUGCUAUAUAUUGGAUGUGAUCUCCAGGGAAUGAAUGGUGGUUGUCAAGUACUAUUCAUUUUGGACCUUCUUAUGUGCAGCAGUGGGAACAUUCUUUAACAUCUAUAUUGGCGGGUGCACUAUCCCUUUUCUUGACCAGCUUUUGACAACUUUGUGUAAUUUCAUUUCAGGCCAAUUUUGUUUGGUCUUAUCGGUGCAACGGGUAUUUGUACCCAGUUCCUAGUUUUCCUGAACUAAUAUGUAUUUGUACCGUGUCUUGUGUGCUUAUAGCAAGUAGUCAUGCCUAAUCCAGUUUACAAAAUCUGGUUGCAAAUUGUCAUAAAAUUCAUAAAACAGGACAUUCUUCCCUAGCUUUUUCUUAUGUGGAAUGAGCAAUACCAAUGUGUAGAUUCAUUAAGCAAGAGCAUUGGGAUGAACUUUUAAAAUCAAGAUUAGAUUGAAUGAAAGUCAAGUACACUUUGUCUGAAUUAAAUGUUGCUUCUGAUUUUUUGGUUCAUGCUACUCUAGUGUAGAUCAUGCUACUUUAAUUCAGUUUCUUCUAAAUUGUUGGUUCUGAGUUGAUAUCUCUUCAGUUUCUCCUAAGUUGAUAUCUCUUCAGAUCAUUUCAUCGCACUAUGCAUUGGUUUUUAAGUUCAAAGACAUGAAUAUAGUGUUUAUUACUUUAUUGCAUCUAAUGAACUUAAACUAGCAGUUAACUACCACUAAAACUGAAAGUGUCUUAUCUUUUGACAAUUAAAAUUGAGUUCGAAUCAUAAGAGAAAAUUGUCAAUUCUUAGUAGAUUUUUGUCACUAUGUUUGAUUUCUGGUUGAGUUUAUUGUGAUUAAUUGUUAAAAUUGAGUUUAUCGUUUCCUGAUUUGUUAGUACUUAUGACUUGUCACUUUGUUUGUUUUUUGACAGGAAGUACGAGACAUAUGUUUGUAAUUUGAACCAAACUCGUACGGGAAGGAUAAAACCUACAAAAUACAUUGAAUGGCUACAGAAACAACUUGAAGGCACUCCCAUGCACCUAUGCCAACAAUGUAUUUUUGUAUUCUAUUAUAAUCCUCGGCUCUUUCGUCAAAUGCGGUUAAGAAGGGAGGGCUCUCUGCAGGUGAUGUUGCAGCGCAAUACAAGUACAAGAAUGCAGUCAUGGAUGUCAAAGUUGACACAGAAUCAAAUAUUUUGACAACCCUGACAUUCUUGGAGAAUUGCUUCAUUUAAGCUGCCCAACUACAACUCUGGAAAGCUAGAGGCGCAAUACUUCCAUGAUCAUGCAACCGUCACAGCAGUUGUUGGCCUGAACCAGUCUCCUGUAGUGCGAUCAAGUGAAUGCUUCUGAUCCAAUUAUCAACACUUGCAGUGACUUUUACAAAUUCUGGCAGGCAACCCAUGAUUUGCACGAUGCCAUAAAUCUUAAGCAGCAUUGGUAGCAACUGAUCCUAAGGAAGUUAAGCUUGGUGAUAACUUAGAGGAAGUCGCAUGUGAACCAAGGACACAACACAUUGAUGCUCUGUUUGAUAUCAUUUGUGAAGUAUUAUCAUAGGAGGAGCUGAAAUAUCAUUUUUUUUAUCAGUUGUCUAUUAGUUUAGCAUAUUGUUGUCAGAACUUAGUAAUCUUGGACAUGUAUUCUCUGAACUCAGUAUUUCAUUUUUUUUGUGUAGUUUUACACCCAAUGGAAUGAAUGUUAAAAUUCUCAGUUAAAUUUGAAGUUGCACUUGAAUUUUAGUUAUGAGUUAUAUUUGAAUUUCAGUUAAAUUUGAGGUUG